rnacentral:rRNA from 1 species
AGAGUUUGAUCCUGGCUCAGGAUAAACGCUGGCGGCGCACAUAAGACAUGCAAGUCGAACGAACUUAAUUGAGAGCUUGCUCUCAAAGCGGUUAGUGGCGGACUGGUGAGUAACACGUAAGCAACCUGCCUAUUAGAGGGGAAUAACAGCGAGAAAUCGUUGCUAAUACCGCAUAUGCUGUGAGUAUCGCAUGAUACAAGCAGGAAAGGAGCAAUCCGCUAAUAGAUGGGCUUGCGUCUGAUUAGUUAGUUGGUGGGGUAACGGCCUACCAAGACGAUGAUCAGUAGCCGGACUGAGAGGUUGAACGGCCACAUUGGGACUGAGAUACGGCCCAGACUCCUACGGGAGGCAGCAGUCGGGAAUAUUGCGCAAUGGAGGAAACUCUGACGCAGUGACGCCGCGUGCAGGAAGAAGGUUUUCGGAUUGUAAACUGCUUUUAACAGGAAAGAAAAAAAUGACGGUACCUGUUGAAUAAGCUCCGGCUAACUACGUGCCAGCAGCCGCGGUAAUACGUAGGGAGCGAGCGUUAUCCGGAUUUAUUGGGUGUAAAGGGUGCGUAGGCGGCUUUAUAAGUCGGUGGUCUAAGUCCGAAGCUUAACUUCGGUUCGCCAUUGAAACUGUAGAGCUUGAGUAUGGAAGAGGUAAGUGGAAUUUCUAGUGUAGCGGUUAAAUGCGUAGAUAUUAGAAGGAACACCAGUGGCGAAAGCGACUUACUGGUCCACUACUGACGCUGAGGCACGAAAGCGUGGGGAGCAAAUAGGAUUAGAUACCCUAGUAGUCCACGCCGU